rnacentral:tRNA from 1 species
GGAUUGUGGCUUAGUGGUAGAGCACUCGCCUAACAUGUGUGAGGCCCUGGGUUCCAUCCUCAGCACCA